rnacentral:lncRNA from 1 species
AAAAAAUAACAACCACAACACAUAAUAUCAUCGUCAAAAUCAAACACAGAAAACAAACAACAACCCUUCAAAUUCAGAAUCAAACCCAGAAAACAAACAACAACAACCCUUCUUAGAGAAACAAAACCAAAUCAUUCACAUCAAAACUGUCAAAUUCUGAUUCAGUUCUUCUGCAUUCGGAUUCAAUUCAUUCACAUCAAAAUGAAAUCAUAAUGAAAAUGAGAGAAAGAGAGUAAGUGUUGUUGUAUUGCCUAUGGGUUUGUGAUUUUAGUUCUUCUGCAUCUGGGUUUUGUAUAAAAAUAAUUUCAAUAACUCAGCUUCAAACGCAAUCCCAUUCCGUAUAAAGAAAACAAAAAUAACCAACAGUUAAAUCUAUAAAAUCCCUAUAAAUCUCAUCGCACAAGAAAGGAGGUAGCGAGCCUUUAAUUUCACCGUUUAUAUUAGGAAGAAGUGAUGUUGUAUAAACUGUGGAAGAAAGAAAUGAAUAU